rnacentral:rRNA from 1 species
UACGGAAGGUGCAAGCGUUGCUCGGAAUCAUUGGGCGUAAAGGGCAGGUAGGUGGUCCCGCGCGUCCGAGGUGAAAGUCUUGGGCUUAACCCAAGAAGCGCCUUGGAAACGGCGGGACUGAGAGUGCUGGAGAGGGUCGCGGAAUUCCCGGUGUAGUGGUGAAAUGCGUAGAGAUCGGGAGGAACACCCGAGGCGAAGGCGGCGACCUGGACAGUGACUGACACUCAACUGCGAAAGCGUGGGGAGCAAACAGG